UAUAUAUAAUACAUGAGAUGAAACAAUAUAACAGAAACAAAAAAACACUUCCCAUCAUAAAAAAAAUGAUCUAAUGGAAUUGUAUCUAAUCAUAGCAGAGGAUUGCUGUUAUGUUAGUUCUCCCACAGUUGCUGUUAUUACUACAACAACUAAUUGCAUCUCAUCAUCUAAUGGAAGUCUUUCUCAUCCUAAACAGUCCACCUGUGAUUCUCUUCCCCAAUAGGUCCUUCCAGGAACACUGUGGCUGCAAGGUGGAUUACUACUUAGGACUUAUUUUAACGUUAGGUCUUUUGUGAUUAAUAUUUGACAAAUGUUCUUUUGAAGAUUAUUUAGUACAAUAGAAAUUACUCUCUUAGAUUUAUGAUUGUGCAAUUUAAUGUUCUUCUGAAAAUCAAUGUGGGUCCUUGAAAAUCAAAUGUAAUAACUCCGUCGCAAUAAAUUUCUUAGAGUCUUUUGUAUCUCUCUUAGUAGUAGAAGUUAGUUUAAAAUUAA